rnacentral:rRNA from 1 species
UACGUAGGGGGCGAGCGUUGUCCGGAUUCAUUGGGCGUAAAGCGUGCGUAGGCGGCUCGACAAGUCGGCCGUGAAAUCUCCAGGCUCAACUUGGAGGGGUCGGGCGAGACUGUCGGGCUCGAGGUGGGCAGAGGGCAGUGGAAUUCCGGGUGUAGUGGUGGAAUGCGUAGAGAUCCGGAGGAACACCAGUGGCGAAGGCGGCUGCCUGGGCCUGGCCUGACGCUGAGGCGCGAAAGCGUGGGGAGCAAACAGG